rnacentral:ribozyme from 1 species
GAAACAGUUGAAAGAAACACCGAGUAAAAACUCAUAAGUGUCAUUUUCCCGGGUUCUGUUCUUUCUUUUGUUUACGUUUGUCCUAAUACACUAAUUCAUAAAAUUGUCAAAAAAA